rnacentral:rRNA from 1 species
CGUGUAGGCGGUGCGGUAAGUUGGGCGUGAAAUCCCCGAGCCUUAACUCGGGUGGGCCGUUCAAGACUGCUGUGCUAGGGUGCGGGAGAGGGAAGUGGAAUUUCCGGUAGUAGCGGUGAAAUGCGUAGAUAUCGGGAGGAACACCUGCGGCGAAGGCGGCUUCCUGGACCGUAACCGACGCUGAGGCGCGAAAGCUAGGGGAGCAAACAGGAUUAGAUACCCUGGUAGUCCUAGCCCUAAACGAUGAGCACUGGGUGUGGCCCCUCACGGGGCCGUGCCGAAGCUAACGCAUUAAGUGCUCCGCCUGGGGAGUACGGUCGCAAGGCUGAA